GAUGAACGCUGGCGGCGUGCCUAAUACAUGCAAGUCGAACGAGUGGCGGACGGGUGAGUAAUGUCUGGGAAACUGCCCGAUGGCGGGGGAUAACUACUGGAAACGGUAGCUAAUACAGCAUACCAUCGGAUUUGCCCAGAUGGGAUUAGCUUGUAGGUGAGGUAACUGCUCACCUAGGCGACGAUCCCUAGCUGGUCUGAGAGGAUGACCAGCCACACUGGAACUGAGACACGGUCCAGACUCCUACGGGAGGCAGCAGUGGGGAAUAUUGCACAAUGGGCGCAAGCCUGAUGCAGCCAUGCCGCGUGUAUGAAGAAGGCCUUCGGGUUGUAAAGUACUGUCAGCGGGGAGGCGUUACCCGCAGAAGAAGCACCGGCUAACUCCGUGCCAGCAGCCGCGGUAAUAC
rnacentral:rRNA from 1 species